AACCCGCCUGUAUGAAGUUGGAAUCGCUAGUAAUCGCGGAUCAGCAUGCCGCGGUGAAUACGUUCCCGGGCCUUGUACACACCGCCCGUCACACCAUGAGAGUCGGGAACACCCGAAGUCCGUAGCCUAACCGCAAGGGGGCGCGGCCGAAGGUGGGUUCGAUAAUUGGGGUGAAGUCGUAACAAGGUAAC
rnacentral:rRNA from 1 species